rnacentral:lncRNA from 1 species
GCAAGGGAGGGUGACUGUGCUGGGACAGCUGUUUUCUAUGCCUUUUAAACACAAAGGAAAUGCUGCAAGCUUUAAAGCACCCCCACUGUGGGAAUUUCAUCAAGGUCCUGUAAUCCAGUCAUUAACGGAUUACAUUACUGGGGUUAGAAGCUGUAUCACUGAUUCUCACUGUGAGGACUCAUCCUGCUAUUCCUUGGAAAUCACAGGAGAUGCCAGUGCCUGGGCAGCUGAGAAGGAUGUAAAUCUUCAGCAUAGCUUUAACAUGAAAAUCUCAGUGGCUUGUCCUGGUACUGUCUUUUCUACAAGAAGAUCUCUGCUGAAAGACAGCCAUGGGAAUCUGACCUUGCUGUUCUGACAUUUGUGUUCAUAGCAGGUAGUGCAGGGAUGCCUACGAUGCCUUUGAACCUUUAAUCUAAUUUGGAGGGUUUAGAGAUAUGUGCAUUUGAUAUUGACUUCCAGAGACAUAACAGCAGAGCCAGAGUGGAAGAGAGAGCCUGCAGAGAUGUUGCCAGUGGCCAACAUUUUGAGAACACGUGGUGAGGAAGAUGGGAUUAGCAUUUGUCAUUAGGAAGGAGGGAUUCAGAUGUUCUACUGAGCUUGUUUGCUUGUUCUCCCCCUUUGCACCCAGAAGUCAUCUCUGCUCCUCUUGACAUGAGACAUUUUAGCACAUGCACAAAGGAGGACCUAAAUUUGAGCAUAGAAAGCAGCCCAAUGUGUAUGAUUUCCAAAGAUCUAGUUUCUGCCUGGCUUCCCCUUCUGCCCUAUAGUUUGAGCUCCAAGAGGAUGUCAUCUCUGCAAAGCUAAGUGCAAGAUGAAAUGUUUGGAGCCCUGUGACUUCUUGUUCUCUAUGCCCACUAUCAGCAGCAGUUCAGCUCACCCACUUUUUGCCAUCCAAAGCUGACAUCUUGUGCAAGAGGGCUUUCUCAGACAGCACAGAAACCCUGGCCUGUAGCAGAAAAGUCAUACAAGUGAAGAUGAGAAAACCCCUGGAGAGCCUCAGUGUAGGGCCCUGCAGAGCCCCCUUUGACCACCAGAGGUCAGAAGCAAAACAUCGCAUCUCCACCACUGAACCCUCAUUUCCUCUGUCGCUGUCCUGGAGAGGGAGAAGCAAAGGAAUCAGCAGAAAUGCCGCUUCAUUCACAGAGAGGAUGGAGACAGUAACACGAAGGACCGCAGGCGAUGGAGGCGGAAGGUGGCAAGGAACGCAGACAGAACCUAAAAGCCUCAUCAAAACCUGUGUGGAUAUUCAAAAAAAAAAAAAAAAAGAAAAGAAAAGAAAAAAAGAAAAAAAAGGCAUUUGCAACUUUCCUGCAAUAGUGCUUUUAUUCUUUGCAAACACAUUUCUGGAACACUAA